rnacentral:rRNA from 1 species
UACAGAGGGGGCAAGCGUUGUUCGGAAUUACUGGGCGUAAAGGGCGCGUAGGCGGCCCGCUAAGUCGAACGUGAAAUCCCUGGGCUCAACCCAGGAACUGCGUCCGAUACUGGCGGGCUUGAAUCCGGGAGAGGGAUGUGGAAUUCCAGGUGUAGCGGUGAAAUGCGUAGAUAUCUGGAGGAACACCGGUGGCGAAGGCGGCAUCCUGGACCGGUAUUGACGCUGAGGAGCGAAAGCCAGGGGAGCAAACGGG